rnacentral:rRNA from 1 species
CGCUAGCUACAGGCUUAACACAUGCAAGUCGAGGGGCAGCAUGGUCUUAGCUUGCUAAGGCCGAUGGCGACCGGCGCACGGGUGAGUAACACGUAUCCAACCUGCCGUCUACUCUUGGACAGCCUUCUGAAAGGAAGAUUAAUACAAGAUGGCAUCAUGAGUCCGCAUGUUCACAUGAUUAAAGGUAUUCCGGUAGACGAUGGGGAUGCGUUCCAUUAGAUAGUAGGCGGGGUAACGGCCCACCUAGUCUUCGAUGGAUAGGGGUUCUGAGAGGAAGGUCCCCCACAUUGGAACUGAGACACGGUCCAAACUCCUACGGGAGGCAGCAGUGAGGAAUAUUGGUCAAUGGGCGAGAGCCUGAACCAGCCAAGUAGCGUGAAGGAUGACUGCCCUAUGGGUUGUAAACUUCUUUUAUAAAGGAAUAAAGUCGGGUAUGCAUACCCGUUUGCAUGUACUUUAUGAAUAAGGAUCGGCUAACUCCGUGCCAGCAGCCGCGGUAAUACGGAGGAUCCGAGCGUUAUCCGGAUUUAUUGGGUUUAAAGGGAGCGUAGAUGGAUGUUUAAGUCAGUUGUGAAAGUUUGCGGCUCAACCGUAAAAUUGCAGUUGAUACUGGAUAUCUUGAGUGCAGUUGAGGCAGGCGGAAUUCGUGGUGUAGCGGUGAAAUGCUUAGAUAUCACGAAGAACUCCGAUUGCGAAGGCAGCCUGCUAAGCUGCAACUGACAUUGAGGCUCGAAAGUGUGGGUAUCAAACAGGAUUAGAUACCCUGGUAGUCCACACGGUAAACGAUGAAUACUCGCUGUUUGCGAUAUACGGCAAGCGGCCAAGCGAAAGCGUUAAGUAUUCCACCUGGGGAGUACGCCGGCAACGGUGAAACUCAAAGGAAUUGACGGGGGCCCGCACAAGCGGAGGAACAUGUGGUUUAAUUCGAUGAUACGCGAGGAACCUUACCCGGGCUUAAAUUGCAGAUGAAUUACGGUGAAAGCCGUAAGCCGCAAGGCAUCUGUGAAGGUGCUGCAUGGUUGUCGUCAGCUCGUGCCGUGAGGUGUCGGCUUAAGUGCCAUAACGAGCGCAACCCUUGUUGUCAGUUACUAACAGGUUCCGCUGAGGACUCUGACAAGACUGCCAUCGUAAGAUGUGAGGAAGGUGGGGAUGACGUCAAAUCAGCACGGCCCUUACGUCCGGGGCUACACACGUGUUACAAUGGGGGGUACAGAGGGCCGCUACCACGCGAGUGGAUGCCAAUCCCAAAAACCUCUCUCAGUUCGGACUGGAGUCUGCAACCCGACUCCACGAAGCUGGAUUCGCUAGUAAUCGCGCAUCAGCCACGGCGCGGUGAAUACGUUCCCGGGCCUUGUACACACCGCCCGUCAAGCCAUGGGAGCCGGGGGUACCUGAAGUGCGUAACCGCGAGGAGCGCCCUAGGGUAAAACUGGUGACUGGGG